rnacentral:rRNA from 1 species
GACGGAGGGGGCUAGCGUUGUUCGGAAUUACUGGGCGUAAAGCGCGUGUAGGCGGUUGUUCAAGUCAGGUGUGAAAGCCUUGAGCUCAACUCAAGAAAUGCACUUGAUACUGGAUAACUAGAGGACCGGAGAGGAUAGUGGAAUUCCCAGUGUAGUGGUGAAAUACGUAGAGAUUGGGAAGAACACCAGUGGCGAAGGCGGCUAUCUGGACGGUUUCUGACGCUAAGACGCGAAAGCGUGGGGAGCAAACAGG